AGGGACUUUACAAAUGUUACUAAGUUAAGGAUCAUGAUAUGAGAAUAUUAUCCAGGAUUAUCCUGAUAGGCUCAAUGUAAUCACAAGGACUGUGAAAGAGGGAACCAGGAGAGACAGAGUAAUUUGGAGAUGAUUUGCAGUUUGGCUUUAAAGAUGGAGAAAGAUGGAGAAAGAGAACAUGGCUUUAAAGAUGGAGAAAGAGGUCCUGAGAUAAGGAAUUCAGUUGGUCUCUAGAAGAUGGAAAAGGAAUUAAAAGAAUUAAAAGGCAAGGAAUAAGCUAUUGCAU
rnacentral:lncRNA from 1 species